AGGGCCCUGCCCAUUAUUCACUGCCCGGACCCCCCGGGAAAGCCGCGCCCGGGGUCCUGGCCGGCAGCCACCUUGGGAGCCCAGGGCAAGCCCUGCAGGCCGCGCCAGAUCAGGUGGACCUGCCCCCGCCCCUCGAGUUUCCGCUGCCGCGGCGCGCGGCCGGCGGCGGCCCGGGGAGCGCUCCCCCCGUCCCGCCUUGACCGGCCCUCAGCUGCGCAUCGCGGGCGCCGCCCCACCGAGUCCCGGUCACUCCCGGCCGGUCCCCGCGCCGGCCACGCCCCGCGCCACCGCCCGGCCGUGACGUCAGGUGGCGAGACCGUGACGUCACAGAAGCGCGGCGGGGCGGCCGGCCACGCGUCGCCAUGGCGACGGCAGGCGGGCCCGGGCGAGCGGCGGGAGCCCCGCCCCCGGGAGGGUGGACGCUGCCCGGCUCCUUCCCCGCGCGCCCGCGCGCUCUCCCCUGCCCCCACCCGAGCCGCGGGGCGCGCGCCUCCGGGAAACCCCCCGCGGCCAGCGGUCUGGCAGCCCCGGAGCGGCCGCAAAGCGCGGCGGCCGUCGUGCGGCGGCGCCCGCGGCCUCGAAGCCCCGCCCCGCGCUGAGCCGUCGCGCGCCCCGGGCCGGACGGCGGCUGCGCAGUGGGUGCGGACCCUCCCCCGACGCCGGGGCGUAAGCGCGGGCCGCGGGCGACGCUGCGAGACCGGGGCGAGCCGGGCGCCCGCGCGGCGGGGACGGCCCGCGCCAACAUGCGGAGGCCGGCGGCGGCGGCGGCGGCGGAAGCGGCGGCGGCGGCGGCGCGGGAGCGGGGGCCCGAGCGGGCGCUGGAGCCGGAGCCGCGGCACGAGCGGGGCCCGGAGCGGGGGCCCGCGCCGCGCUGCUGAGGGAGCCCGGGCCGCCUGCUGCCCGGCCGGCCACGGCCACGGCCACGGCGGAGGCCCCGAGGUAAGGACGCGCGCGCCCUCGCCGCUGCCACGGCCACGCGCCCGGGCCGCCGCGCCCCACCGCGCGGACCCCUCACUCCAGACCCUGUUCACCCCCGCCCCCGGGGCCCGUACUCCAACCCCACGUCCCCCGCAGCCCGGGGACUCCCGCGUUCUACCCGCCGCCUCCUCGCUCCAGACCUUGCCCCUUUCCCCGGGCUCAGGCCUUACUCAUUCCGGCUGGCGCCUACCUUGCAGAUCUCACGGUCCUCCCCGACCCCCUGACUCCAGAGCCCGCUGUUCUCCACGGACCCCUCACUCCAGACUCUGCUGUCCUCCACGGACCCCUCACUCCAGACCCUCCUGCCCACUCCCGGUGUGCCCUGACUCCAGACCCUGCUCUCCUCCACUGUCUCCUGACUUCAGACCCCACUGCCCACUCCCCAGGUCCCCCACCCUCCAUCUUUCACCCUGGACCCCUGCCCCAGCGCACCCACCCAUUCCUGGCUUUGUGGUGUUGAAGGCCCUGAGGGAAGAGCAGGGGCUGGGGGGUGGGGAGCACUGGGGUGGGGAAGGGGCGUGCAGCCCGAGACCCGCAGCAGGAGGGGUCUCGUCCAGGGUGACCUGUUGCAGGGCACUGCUUGGGAACUGCUGCCUCGGUGUGGCUGUGCCCUCCCCCUUCCGCCCUUGCCACCGGUUUUGUUUUCCGGAAACACUUCGGAUCAGGGAGGGGGUGAGGUGUCUAUGCGCCCGGGGCGGUGGCCACGCUGAUCUCCCUGCCCCCUUCUGCCCCAACUUUCUGGGGAAGCUUUCAUGUUAG
rnacentral:lncRNA from 1 species